AUGUGGUGCGCGUCGUGCCUGGCGUCCGCCUGCGCGGGCUGCGCCUGCAACCUCUGCACGUCGGCGGCGGCGUCCGUCACUCGCCGCUCAGCCCGCCUCGCCUACUGCGGCCUUUUCGCGGCCUCCCUCAUCCUCUCCUUCCUGCUCCGCCAGUUCGCCGCGCCUCUCCUCCAGCACAUCCCAUGGAUAAAUACGUUUGAUGAUACACCACCAGAAGAAUGGUUUCAAAUGAAUGCUGUUCUUCGUCUGAGCUUGGGCAAUUUCUUGUUUUUCGCAAUAUUUGCUCUCACGAUGAUUGGUGUCAAAGACCAGAACGAUCGGCGAGACGCAUGGCACCAUGGUGGCUGGAUUGCAAAGUUUGCUAUCUGGGUCGUUCUUGUUGUUCUUAUGUUCUUUGUCCCGAACAUUGUAAUUACUGUUUAUGAGAUAUUAUCAAAGUUUGGAUCUGGCUUGUUUCUUCUGGUACAAGUCGUGAUGCUUUUAGACUUCACAAAUAAUUGGAAUGACUCUUGGGUUGAGAAGGAUGAGCAGAAGUGGGAAAUAGCUUUGCUUGUGGUGACUGUGAUUUGCUAUCUCGCCACGUUUGCCUUCUCCGGUGUGCUCUUCAUGUGGUUCAAUCCCUCUGAUCAUGAUUGUGGUCUCAAUGUGUUCUUUAUUGUCUUGACAAUGAUUCUUGCUUUUGCAUUUGCAAUAAUUGCUUUGCACCCCCAGGUCAAUGGUAGCGUUAUGCCUGCUUCGGUCAUUUCUGUUUACUGUGCAUACCUGUGUUACACUAGUCUGUCGAGUGAACCAUAUGACUAUGCGUGCAACGGGCUUCACAUGCACUCUAAGCAGGUCUCAAUGAGCGCCCUUGUCCUUGGGAUGCUCACCACCGUGCUCUCUGUAGUCUACUCUGCCGUUCGCGCUGGAUCUUCCACUACUUUCCUUUCGCCACCGUCGUCUCCUAGAUCUGGUGCGAGGAACCCUUUGCUUGGUGACUCUAAUGUGGAGGAGGGGAAGGGCAACAGCGAGGGAAGUGAGCCGCGCCCUGUGAGCUAUUCUUACACCUUCUUCCACCUUAUAUUCGCCCUCGCGAGCAUGUACUCGGCCAUGCUUCUGACGGGCUGGACGAGCGCCACUUCAGAGAGGUCGGAGCUGAUGGAUGUCGGAUGGACGACCGUCUGGGUGCGCAUCUGCACGGAGUGGUCCACCGCAGCGCUGUACAUCUGGACCCUUGUUGCUCCGCUGCUUUUUCCUGACCGGGACUUCUCAUGA
rnacentral:rRNA from 1 species